AUAAAACCUGUAUACGUCAUGGUGGAUUCGAUCUUUAGCUCGGAGGCUAGCAUCUUAUUUAUCAGAAGGUGUGUAAAAACAGCUGUGUGAUUGGGGCUGGCUAAGGUUAGCUUCUGGUGGGCCCCGAGUACGCCAUCAUCAAAACAGAGACAAAGCAGGUUAGAUGCGCUCCGUUUGGGCAUAAACUCACAUUCCCUAAAUGAUGCUGCAUUCUCACCCCACCUUGAGUAUAAAAAGGUUACAUUCCAUCGACGAGAUCUGCUUUCGGGUUCAAAACCGAGGAGAGGCUCAUCAGAUUAAGCGAGCAGCGAUCACCCUGAACUGUUGCUUUUGAACACAAUCUGUGGGAGUAAAUACUUACCUGUGUUUGGAGGUGCAUCAUGUCUUCUUCAAUUUUCAUAUUUGAGUUGUUCAAUUCCUUGAUUUCAUGAUCCAGAUGGUGAAUGUCCUCUUUGUUUUCAACACCUGGAUUACACAGGCCUCAGGUAUUAUAGUUAAAAGGUUUUUGUUGUUGUUGCUGUUGUUGUUUUUUUUAUGUAAACAAUAAGAUUAAUUUUUUAAUUAACUCACCACUGCUGGUUUUCAGUUUGAUAGUCAUCAUCUCCUCCUCUGAGUGUUUUUUCUUGAUGCUCUGUGCAUUGAGCGGGCACCCUGACAAGCUACAGUGGUCAAGCACAAAUAACAGUUUAAGAUUGUAGGACACCACCAAAUCUACAUAGACUCGUAAAGGAUAGAGAUGCAAAGAUAAAUUGUUGUUUUAGCUUGAUCAGCCCUAACUGAGGUCAGUCAGAAAUGUGAAAAUUAAAUCUUUUUUUCCGAAUGGUGAGUAGGCCAAAUGCAAGCACUGUCAUUUUGUGCUAACAGCAGCCCUCCUGGGUGUCGAUACUUCUAUUGAGUAAGCAACUAUUAACGUUAGCUAUUAUCAUUGUCACUGAAUUUUUUUAUUACUUUUUUUUUAGAAAGGAUCUCACUGCAGGAAUGCAGAUCUAACAAGUACAGUUACAUCUAUGAUUCAGUUAAGUGCUUUGGAGUCUUCUGGACUAGAUGAAAUACAGACUCUUUACCAUCUCAAUGCUGUAUGAUAAGAAAUAUGUUGAUUACAAUAAACUAAAAUCUUUUAUAC